rnacentral:rRNA from 1 species
AUUGAACGCUGGCGGCAGGCUUAACACAUGCAAGUCGAGCGAGCGGCGGACGGGUGAGUAAUGUCUGGGAAACUGCCUGAUGGAGGGGGAUAACUACUGGAAACCGUAGCUAAUACCGCAUACCAUCAGAUGUGCCCAGAUGGGAUUAGGUAGUAGGUGGGGUAAUGGCUCACCUAGGCGACGAUCCCCCGCGGGUCUGAGAGGAUGACCAGCAACACUGGAACUGAGAAACGGUCAAGACUCCUACGGGAGGCAGCAGUGGGGAAUAUUGCACAAGGGGCGAAAGCCUGAUGCAGCCAUGCCGCGUGGGUGAAGAAGGCCUUCGGGUUGUAAAGCACUUUCAGCGAGGAGGCGUUACUCGCAGAAGAAGCACCGGCUAACUCCGUGCCAGCAGCCGCGGUAAUAC